CCUACGGGAGGCAGCAGUGAGGAAUAUUGGUCAAUGGACGAGAGUCUGAACCAGCAAAGUAGCGUGAAGGAUGACUGCCCUAUGGGUUGUAAACUUCUUUUAUAUGGGAAUAAAAUGUUCCACGUGUGGGUUUUUGUAUGUACCAUAUGAAUAAGGAUCGGCUAACUCCGUGCCAGCAGCCGCGGUAAUACGGAGGAUCCGAGCUUUAUCCGGAUUUAUUGGGUUUAAAGGGAGCGUAGGUGGAUUGUUAAGUCAGUUGUGAAGGUUUGCGGCUCAACCGUAAAAUUGCAGUUGAAACUGGCAGUCUUGAGUACCGUAGAGGUAGGCGGAAUUCGUGGUGUAGCGGUGAAAUGCUUAGAUAUCACGAAGAACUCCGAUUGCGAAGGCAGCUCACUGGACUGCAACUGACACUGAGGCUCGAAAGUGUGGGUAUCAAACAGGAUUAGAUACCCGUGUAGUC
rnacentral:rRNA from 1 species